rnacentral:rRNA from 1 species
UACGAAGGGGGCUAGCGUUGCUCGGAAUCACUGGGCGUAAAGGGUGCGUAGGCGGGUCUUUUAAGUCAGGGGUGAAAUCCUGGAGCUCAACUCCAGAACUGCCUUUGAUACUGAAGAUCUUGAGUUCGGGAGAGGUGAGUGGAAUGCGAGUGUAGAGGUGAAAAUUCGUAGAUAUUCGCAAGAACACCAGUGGCGAAGGCGGCUCACUGGCCCCGAU